rnacentral:rRNA from 1 species
CAGUAGCCACGGUAACACGAAGGGGGCUAGCGUUGUUCGGAAUUACUGGGCGUAAAGCGCACGUAGGCGGAUAUUUAAGUCAGGGGUGAAAUCCCGCAGCUCAACUGCGGAACUGCCUUUGAUACUGGGUAUCUUGAGUAUGGAAGAGGUUAGUGGAAUUGCGAGUGUAGAGGUGAAAUUCGUAGAUAUUAGCUAGAACACCAGUGGCGAAGGCGGCCAACUGGUCCGACACUGACGCUGAGGUGCGAAAGCGUGGGGAGCAAACAGGAUUAGAUACCCCAGUAGUCCCUGUCUCUUAUAC